rnacentral:rRNA from 1 species
UAGGGUUUGAUCAUGGCUCAGGACUAACGCUGGCGGUAUGCCUUAGACAUGCAAGUCGAACGAGUUUCCGGGCUUGCUCGGAAAUUAGUGGCAAACGGCUGAGUAACGCGUAGGUGACCUACCCCGUAGUGUGGAAUAACUGCCCGAAAGGGUAGCUAAUACCGCAUGUUGAGCCGACAUCAAUGUCGUCUCCAAAGCAGAAAUGCGCUAUGGGCGGGGCCUGCGUUCGAUUAGCUAGUUGGUGGGGUAAUGGCUCACCAAGGCGACGAUCGAUAGGUGGUCUGAGAGGACGAUCACCCAGACUGGGACUGAGACACGGCCCAGACUCCUACGGGAGGCAGCAGUCGGGAAUUUUGCGCAAUGGGGGAAACCCUGACGCAGCAAUACCGCGUGUGGGAUGAAGGCCUUCGGGUCGUAAACCACUUUUUUCGGGGACGAUAAUGACGGUACCCGAAGAAUAAGCCACGGCUAACUACGUGCCAGCCGCCGCGGUAAUAC